GUAGGUGGCAAGCGUUGUCCGGAAUUAUUGGGCGUAAAGCGCGCGCAGGCGGUUCUUUAAGUCUGAUGUGAAAGCCCACGGCUCAACCGUGGAGGGUCAUUGGAAACUGGAGAACUUGAGUACAGAAGAGGAAAGCGGAAUUCCACGUGUAGCGGUGAAAUGCGUAGAGAUGUGGAGGAACACCAGUGGCGAAGGCGGCUUUCUGGUCUGUAACUGACGCUGAGGCGCGAAAGCGUGGGGAGCAAACAGGGACUAGAUACCCUGGUAGUCCACGCCGUAAACGAUGAGUGCUAAGUGUUAGGGGGUUUCCCGCCCCUUAGUGCUGCAGCUAACGCAUUAAGCACUCCGCCUGGGGAGUACGGCCGCAAGGCUG
rnacentral:rRNA from 1 species